rnacentral:rRNA from 1 species
AGCGGCGGACGGGUGAGUAAUGCUUAGGAAUCUGCCAUUUAGUGGGGGACAACAUUCCGAAAGGAAUGCUAAUACCGCAUACGUCCUACGGGAGAAAGCAGGGGAUCUUCGGACCUUGCGCUAAAUGAUGAGCCUAAGUCGGAUUAGCUAGUUGGUGGGGUAAAGGCCUACCAAGGCGACGAUCUGUAGCGGGUCUGAGAGGAUGAUCCGCCACACUGGGACUGAGACACGGCCCAGACUCCUACGGGAGGCAGCAGUGGGGAAUAUUGGACAAUGGGCGGAAGCCUGAUCCAGCCAUGCCGCGUGUGUGAAGAAGGCCUUUUGGUUGUAAAGCACUUUAAGCGAGGAGGAGGCUACCUAGAUUAAUACUCUGGGAUAGUGGACGUUACUCGCAGAAUAAGCACCGGCUAACUCUGUGCCAGCAGCCGCGGUAAUACAGAGGGUGCGAGCGUUAAUCGGGUUUACUGGGCGUAAAGCGUGCGUAGGCGGCUUUUUAAGUCGGAUGUGAAAUCCCCGAGCUUAACUUGGGAAUUGCAUUCGAUACUGGGAAGCUAGAGUAUGGGAGAGGAUGGUAGAAUUCCAGGUGUAGCGGUGAAAUGCGUAGAGAUCUGGAGGAAUACCGAUGGCGAAGGCAGCCAUCUGGCCUAAUACUGACGCUGAGGUACGAAAGCAUGGGGAGCAAACAGGAUUAGAUACCCUGGUAGUCCAUGCCGUAAACGAUGUCUACUAGC